CGGAGGCUGGCUCUCGUCCCCUGCCUCUGCUGCUGGGCAGAAAGCUGUGAGUCGUGAGUCUGAGAGAUGGAAGUUAUUGUGAAUUUUUGUUCUUAUUGAACCCAGACUGGACCAGAAGGCCUCAGCACAGCCCUGAGACUCAGCAAUAAUGGAUGAAAAGAUCCGUUCAGCGUCUGUUAUGAGGCUCUUGCUACUGUUCUGGGCUCUCUGUCUACUACUUUAAAAAUGUUUAAAAUAAUAACAGCAACAAAAACCGCACCUGCAAACCUGCACUUGUGUAGCUGUGGGCUGUGCCAGGAAGAGCUGCAGUGGAUAGACCUGACCAUGAUGGCUAUGGAACCCUUUCUUCAAAUGAAGGCUCAUCUGGAAGCCCAGAAAACAAAGCAGAAGAGCUGAGAUUUCUCUGGUGGAAGUUGGGGUGAAGCCCAGAACCAAUGCUUCUCCCUGAGUCCCUGCCCAAUCCCUGAACAGCCUCCACCUUCUGUCCGUUAGAUAGAAACCAGGGGUCUAGGUGACAGAAAGGUUCCCUCCAGUUCCCACACUGCGUAUGCCUCAACGGAAUACAACAUAGGGUAUUAGAAGGCUGCAGUCUGGGAGAAGUAUUUGACUGCUGAAAGCUGUUUUGCCCUUGACCCUGGUGGUCAGUUAUUAGGAAUCUCAAAAAGAUUCUGCAUGGCAUCCUCAGUGUUGACUUAUUCUGAAAGGUUUAAAUGCACUUUGAUUUUUGCUCUAUUAUUAAAAAUGCCUUCUCCUCUUGAAUUUAGACUUUUGUGACUGGGGUUUUUUGUUGUUGUUUUUUUUUCUGGGGGUGGGGAUAUGGAAGAUCAUUGAAAGUAGAAAGAUUUUUUUGUGUGUUUUAUUUAGUUUUUGGAUUUUUGAUAGUUCUAUAAAGUUGCGAUGCAUACUGGGACAGACUAGCCCAAUUCCCUUUGCUGAAGCAAAUGAUCUUCUUGGAAGAGAUGAAAGUUGAAAGCAGGCAGAGACAAGAAGACAUUAAGAGUUUCAAAAAUCAACAGGAAAAUCUUUGGAAUAAUUAGUUUGUUUGAGACCAUAAAUAAAAUGGUUGUUUUCACUGGAGACCAGGGAUGAAUGUUGUGCUGUGAGCAAAUUGUUAAUUAGGCAGGGUAAUCCAGAAUGUUAAAUGAAAUUUAAAGUCCCCCAAACUAAACUGGAGAGUUGAAUUGAAGUCAAUGGUGUGGAGUUGCAUUCUCACUCUCAUUAAAAUGUGGCAUAUGUUCUCUUCCCACUAAUGUUGAAUGCAGCUUCCAAGGAGAAGGUGGCAGAGCAGCUUGGUAGUGAUACACACUCAGUAAAAGAUGCAGGGGCGAGAAAAUGACACAGUAACGUUUCCAGGGCAGGUACAUGUCUCCUAGGUGUUUGUUCUGUUUCCAUUUCCUCCAACAACAAAAAAUUCUGUAUUAAAUAUA